UACAGAGGUCUCAAGCGUUGUUCGGAUUCGUUGGGCGUAAAGGGUGCGUAGGUGGCGUCGUAAGUCGGGUGUGAAAUCUCGGGGCUUAACUCCGAAACUGCAUUCGAUACUGCGGUGCUUGAGGACUGGAGAGGAGACUGGAAUUUACGGUGUAGCGGUGAAAUGCGUAGAUAUCGGGAGGAACACCGAUGGCGAAGGCAGCACUCUGGGCCGGUACUGACGCUGAGGAGCGAAAGCGUGGGGAGCGAACAGG
rnacentral:rRNA from 1 species